AGGCUGGGUUUCUGUACAGCACUUUGAGAUAUCAGCUGGUGUACGAAGGGCUAUAUAAAUACAUUUGAUUUGAUUUGAUACAGCCUGACGGGAGCCCUACUUCCUUGUCCAAUUGCGUUCCCACCCUCGAAAGCGGGCUUUUCAAAACGGGGGCGGUAUUAGUUUCUACGCGAGAGUUAUGUUACAGGACGAAUAUUUAGUUUUUGAAUAUUCUUUUACAUAAGAAACACAGCCCUAUUUAUUUGAGCCGGAAUACACUGAAGAGGAGUUGUGACAACGAGAAAAAUAAUUGCAAGACCAGCAAGCCGCUGCUCCUGACUCUGGGGAGCCACGGUCAGAUAACGACUGGUGGUGCUUAUGCGGGUGCUGUCCAGCCAUGUCGACAAAGGAGGAAUGUCUGUGCUGCAACAAAUUAGAUCGCGGACAGAUCUUACUGGAGAGGGUCACUGCAGACCCCAUGGAUCACAUACGUGUGACAGACCAACGAAGUUUCGACACACGGAUAGAGGGAUGCUGGAGACGUUCUUCAGAAGCUCCUAGACCAACUGGGCCAGCAGGAGAGCAAAUGACAAACAAACAAUGCCGCUUGGAUACAAAGAAGUUGAUGACUGAAGAGAUGUGAAAUGUCCCAUAACAACAAUCUCCCCUUGUAACAAAGUGACUCCGAACACCUCACUGCACCACCCAAACACACCAAAGGCAAGCUCCAGAAUAUUCUUCAGCUGGUGAAUCUCAUCUGGUAUUGGGUAAUGGCAGCUGUUCUAGCAGGCUUUGGCACUGUGGAAAUGUUGGCAGGGAUGUUGGGUUUGGGGAGCUGUAACUCUGGCUCCUUCAAGAGAACAGUCGGGUCCUUUCUGCACUCCAUAGCCAGCUGGACAAGCCUCUCCCUGAAGUGUUGGGUUCUGAGCUCGUGGAAAGACAUGAAGACUGAUAAUGAAGAAGUGUAACCGUACAAGAAAUCAUGUUAAUAUGUAAACCAAAAAGAAUACAUGAGACUGGAAUGUGCUUUGUUAAAAGGAUAUGAACUGAAAAAUCUGAGAAAUAAAUGAAAAUGUAAGACUCCA